rnacentral:rRNA from 1 species
CAAUAAGCGGAGGAAAAGAAACCAACAGGGAUUGCCUCAGUAACGGCGAGUGAAGCGGCAAAAGCUCAAAUUUGAAAUCCCCCGGGAAUUGUAAUUUGAAGGACCUAUUAAAACCCUGAGAGAGCCCAAAGUCCAUUGGAAAAUGGCGCCAUUUCAAGAAGGUGAUAGCCCUGUGUGGACCUCUCUCAGCAUACUUUUUAUGGCCCAAAGAGUCGAGUUGUUUGGGAAUGCAGCUCUAAGUGGGUGGUAAAUUCCAUCUAAAGCUAAAUAUUGGCUGAGAGACGCGAUAGCGAACAAGUACAGUGAUGGAAAGAUGAAAAGCACUUUGAAAAGAGAGUGAAAAAGUACGUGAAAUUGUUGAAAGGGAAGGGCUUGCAAGCAGACUACAACCUCGGUUAGGGCCAGCAUCGGGGCGGGGGGAAACAAUUCCCAAAAGGUGUGGAAUGUGAGCUCUUACGAGUGUUAUAGCCGCCACCGAGGCAAUAUCUGUUCCAUCCCAUCCCGAGGCCUGUUG